rnacentral:misc_RNA from 1 species
CCGGCCAGUGGGAGUUCUCCAUAUAUUCUCCGAAUUUCAAAUGAGAUAAAGUGAAAAAGCCAAAGCAUGGAUCAAAGCCAGAGAUCAAUAGCAGCAACAACAUCUGCUUCCCGAGGCUACCAGUUCCACCCAGCACGAGCUGCCAUUAUCGAUCUCUUUAAUGUUAUUUAGGAAGAAGCAGCCGCCAAAAAGCUGAUGAUUCGACCCGCGAACCACCGAACAAGGCACAAAAGCGAGUACUUGCUCUUAACAGGGAGCUCCCUCCACGAAAUGA